UCGGGAUUCUCUCUCUCCCUCCCUCCCUCUCUCUCUCUCUCUGCCCGUCCCCCACUUGCACUGUCUCUGUCUCUCUCAAAUAAAUCAGUAAACUUAAAAAAAACUAAUUGGAAAAGUAUCCAGCUAUGAGAGUUGUGUUUUUUUAAAUUGAAAGGUUAAUCCCAAUGACCUAGCUUGCCAUUAAUGGAACACGAAGUCUCAGUUGGAAUUUUAUCCCUUUCAUUUUAGUUUGUGUGUGUGUGUGUGAGAGAGAGAGAGAGAGAGAGAGAGAGAGAGAACCAGUGCAGGUGUGGGAGGGGCAGAGGACCAGGGAAAGAGAGAAUCUUAAGCAGGCUUCACAUCCAGCUCAGGGCUCAACAUGGGGCUCAGUCUCACGACUGUGAGAUCAUGACUUGAGUCAAAAUCAAGGGUAGGACCUUUAACCAACUGAGCUACCCAGGCACCCCGCAGUUGGAAUCUUAAAUGGUGAUGAUCCAGUUAUCCCUCUAUUGUUGAACGUAUUCAGGGCGAUGAUUGCCUUUAAGUGUAUAGAUUUCUGGACCAUAAAAGCUCACAUCAGGGUUUCAGGGAGGGGACAGCACAUCCCCCAGAGAUCCUGGAAUUUGGGCUACAUGGACGUAGCAGGUGGCCUUUGAGAUUGACUCCCCUGGGGAUGUUCCUGGUUUAGAGAGCGGGGUACACAUUGGAUGUUUUGUCAACAGGAUGGACUGUGCUGGAGACUGCUAACUGUGUAUCCUCAUAUUCAUUUUUGCCUUCCUAUAACCUUUAGUUUUUAGUUUAGGUGCAUGGCAGGCUGAAAUACAGAUUGCAUUUGAAAGCUUUUCUUGAAACUAGAUUGGCUAAAUGACUAUACCCUGUCCCAUAGGAAAAGUCAAAGAGUACCUGGUAAUUCUAGAAGCUCUCCUUAUGGAGAGGUAGACACUCUCUCUGUCCAGUUUCCCCUUUCUUCUUUGCUGCGUCUUGGGGGGAUGUGGGGACCUGCGGCUUCAUCCUGGAUCAAGGAGGUAAGACUACUCUUCAAGGAAGGUGGGGCAGAUAACUAGAUGCAAUUAGGUUCAGAUGACCCUGGAUCCACGGCACCUUGGAGUUUUACUGCCAAGGUCACAAUCACAGUCUGCUAUUCACUAGCUGUUUGGGUGGGGGGAAAUUGUCGGUCUCUCUGAGGCUGACUUCUGUUACCAUACAGUUAUAGCCACCUUGUUACACUGAUGGAGAGACUGAAUAAGCAAACAUGUGCAACAUCACUCAAUCAGUAGGUGGUAAGUACUCUCUUCUUUUUGCAUCGCAUUCUAACAUUUAAAAGGCUGUAGUCACAAAAGUUAAAUUUAAGUAUUGGGAAAUGUGACAAUCUUCUGUGAAGAAAUAUAUCAUUAGAAGAUCUAGUUAGUUGGGAACGCAAGCUGGUGCAGCCACGCUGGAAAAGAGUAUGGCGGUUCCUCAAAAAACCAAAAAUAGAACUACCGUACAACCCAGCAAUUGCACUACCGGGUAUUUAUCUAAGGGAUGCAGGUGUGCUAUGUCAAAGGGGCACAUGCACCCUAAUGUUUAUAGCAGCGCUAUCGACAAUAGCCAAAGUAUGGAAAGAGCCCACAUGUCCAUUGAGGGAUGAAUGGAUAGAGAAGAUACGGUGUAUAUAUGUAUAUAUACACACACACACACACACACACACACACACACACAAUGGAGUAUUACUCAGCAAUCAAAAAGAAUGAAAUCUUGCCAUUUGCAACUACGUGGAUGGAACUGGAGGGUAUUAUGCUAAAUGAAAUUAAUCAGUCGGAGAAAGACAAAUAUCAUAUGACUUCACUCAUAUGAGGACUUUAAGAGACAAAACAGGUUAAUAUAAGGGAGGGGAAACAAAAAUAAUAUAAAAACAGGGAGGAGGACAAAACAGAAGAGACUCUUAAAUACGGAGAACAAACUGAGAGUUACUGGAGGGGUUGUGGGAGGGGGGAUGGGCUAAAUGGGAAAGGGGCACUAAGGAAUCUACUCCUGAAAUCAUUGUCGCACCAUAUGCGAACUAAUUUGGACGUAAAUUAUAAAAGAUUAAAAUAACGAAUGUUUAAAUCAAAAGAAAAAGAAAAAAAGAAGAUCCAGUUAGUUCUGAAUAUCCAUAGUUACCUCUGAGUAACUUCAAGGGCCUUUGAUGCCAAGCUGGCCAUGAAGCUAGGAACUAAAAAAAAAAAAAAAAAAUCCGUCUAAAGAGGCAUGAUCCGGACUUCAUUUUUGCUUACGUGUUUCAAGAGGUGGAGGUCACGAGGGUCCCAAGAGAGAAAAGAAGGUGGGGGGUGGGGGGUGGGGGGUGGGAGCGGAAGGGCCUCCUUCAGCACCUCGGACAGCGGCCACUCCGUGACUCCCUCCUCUCAGGCUGUAGGAGUACCUGCCCUGGGCUACUGAGUCCAGGGCCUCCAAACCUUUCUGGGCCCACAGAUGGGGGGCCCAGGAGGCCUAGUGACUGCAAAAUAAGAAAGGAACAUUGCAACCUUAAAUGAAUAAAUAUUUAGUAUAUUCUAAGCUGAAAAUAACAUGUUUUUCUUGCCGAGUUCUUAACUAAAAUUACUUUUCCCAUUGGGGUGCCUGAGUGGCUCAGUGGGUUAAGCGUCCAACUCUUGGUUUCUGCUUAGGUCAUGAUCUCAAGGAUCGUGGGUUCGAGCCCCAUGUUGGGCUCUGCACUGACAGCGCGGAGCCUGCUUGGGAUUCUCUCUCCUUCUUCCUCUCCCCGCCCCCCCCCCCCCCAGCACACCCAAUAAGUAAAUAAACCAAAAAUUUUUUUUCAUAUUCCCGAAUGAUACAUCUGGUUUUUUUUUUUAAAGAAAGCGCCAGUGGAGUGAGAGGCAGAGGGAUGGGGAGAGCGAACCCACGUAGCUUGAUGUCACUACCCUGGGACCAUGACCUGAGGUGAAAUCAAGAGUCAGAUGCUCCUGGGGCGCCUGGGUGGUUCAGUCGGUUAAGCAUCUGACUUCAGCUCAGGCCACCUUCUCACAGUUCAUGAGUUUAAGCCCCACAUUGGGCUCUGUGUUAAUAGCACAGAGCCCGCACUUCAGACCCUUUGUCAACCCCCCCGCCCUUCCCCUGCUUGCAUUCUCUCUCUGUCUCUCUCAAAAUAAAUAAGUAAACUUAAUAUAAUUAGUCCUAAGAAAAAAAGAGUCAAAGGCUCAAUUGACUGAGCCACCCAGGUGCCCCAAAAUAAUACAUCUUCCUAGAAGAAAACACCAAGAAGAAAAAGUAAGAAAUAAAAAUCACUUUUAUAUCCAUAAUUCCAACAAGUCAAAAUAAUCCCUUCAUAUUUUCUCACGUAUACUUCCAGCUUGUAUUCAUAUGUAAUGUUAUGCAAGUAAAAAUUAUAUUUACAUCUAAAAUGUGCAUUUACAUUUACACGUCAUCUUCUGUUUAAAAAAUGCUCUUUCAUUGUCCAAUAAGUGCAUGACAAGAUGGACAACAUCAUUAGACCUUAGGGAAAUGCAAACCAAUGCAAAGCUUCCGUUAAAAUUGUCCUUGUCAAGAAAUUUUUGCCUACUCUAAGUCUUUUGCAGUUUCAUGUAAAUUUUAUCAUCAGCUUAUCUAUUUCUACAAAAAGUCCUGCUGGGAUUAGGGUUGUGAUUUCUUCAAAUCUAUAAAUCAAUUUGCAGAGCCUUACUAUCUUCACAAGGUGGAGUCUUUCAAUCCAUGAAUAUUGCUUAUCUCUCCAUGAAUUUGGGCCUUCUUGGGUUUCUUCCACAAGUGUUUUAAAAUUUUCUUCAUAGAAAUCUGGAACACAUUUUGUUAGAUUUAUACCUCAGUAUUUCACUUUUUCUGGUGCAUAAUACUUAAAAUGGGUAUGUGAAAAUAUUGUUCCGAUUGUUUAUUGCUUCUAUCCAGCAGAUUUGGCAUUCUUUUUCUGCAAAAGACCAUAUGGGAAACAUUUUAGGCUUUGCACAUCCCAUUCAGGAUCUCCUCUUCCUCUUGCCCCUCUUCUCCUUUUACAAUCGUCUUAUUUUUGAGAGAGGGAGAGACAGAGACAGAGACAGAGGCAGAGUGUGAUUGGGGGAGGGGCAGAGAGGGAGAGGGAGACACGGAAUCUGAAGCAGGUUCCAGGCUCUGAGCUGUCAGCACAGAGCCUGAUGCAGGGCUUGAACUCACAGACCGUGAGAUCAUGACCUGAGCAAAGUCGGACGUUGAACCGACUGAGCCACCCAGGUGCCCCCUACAGUCCUCUUAAAAUAUAAAAACACCUCUUAGCUUAUAGACCAUACGAAAACAGGCCACAGGCCAGAUUGGUCCAUGGACCAUAGUUUUCUAAUCCCUGGAAUAUAGAAAUAGAAUUUCUAUGUUUUAUAUUCUAGGUAGAAUAUCUUCUGUAUACAUUUUUGUCUAUUGAUCAUGUAUCCUGACCUCCAUUAAGUAAUUCCCAUUGGAACACAGAAAAUGUGGUUGUUUCCUCAGUCUUAAAAAGUCCCUUCCCUUGACCCACUUUCCCACUGAUGAACCAUUUCUUCCCUCCAUCGUGCAGCUAACUCCUCCAAAGAGUGAGCUCUACUUGUGUUCAAUGUCUCCUCUUGCACUACAAACAGGCUUUGAGUUUCUGCUAAGGACUGUGAUGGUGAAUUAAUGAGAAAGGGAAGACGAGAGGCAUGAAGCCCAUCGAUCCCCAGGACUCUGCUGCACCUGCGUGUAUUGAUGCUAAAGGACAGGAGCCUGCUGUCACUCACUGCUGUGGGUCUCUUUCCUUUCUUGGGUGUGUGGGCGACGCCCUCUGCUGGAAUUUUGGGGACAGCAGGCUCUGGCCUGGCCUUUGGUCUCCAUUAAUUCAAUAUGUGUGUGAGCGUGUCUGUGUCUAAGUGUAUGUGUGACUGUGUGUGCGUUGGUGCUACUGUGUGUAUGCAUGUGUGAGGGUGUGUGUAUGUGAGUGUAUCCACGUAAUUGGGUGCAUGGAUGGGAGCAUGUGUGUAAAUCUGUGUGCAUGUGUGUUUGUGUGUGCUCGGUGAGUGUGCGUGUGUAAGCGUGCCACUGUGUGCACGCGUGGAUGCAUUGGUGUGUGUGUGUUUGUGUGUGUGUGUGUGUGUGUGUAAGGGUGUGACUGUGUGUAUCUUGAAGUCGCUAAACCCUGUAAUGGGCAGGGACCUUAAGUGGUUAAAUAAGGGUGACUGGAAGACGGAGCCCUUUACAAAGCUAUGGGCAGGGCCAAGGGAAACCGUCGAGGCUAGUGCAGCGUCCUGGGGCUAGCAUCAGCUGAGAGCCGCCACCACUGCCAGGUUGAUGGGGCCACAGAGUAGCUAUUUCUGGAAUCCAGAGAGCUUAACUGUCACGGAGAGUGGAGGUAGCCUUUGGCAGAGAAUGGACGCCAUUUCUCUAAUCUCCUCGGAUUGCCUGCAGGUGCCCACCACUGACCCAACGCCAUAUUCUCAUUUGACCCCAAGAGGCUGUCGGGAGGCGGCCAAAGACUCCUGUGGUAGUCCAGUGUCUUGAGCUGGGUUGGUGUCCACUCCACAUGUCUCCGCAGAGGGGGGUUCAACAGUUCCUCUGCACCAGGGUGGCUCCCUUGUCUGCUGGCUAAGCAGACAUCAGAAUGGGAGGGGGGCAAAGUCCUGCCUGUUCCCUUGCACGCCCUUCUGGUUUUGUUUUUGUUUUUCUGUGACAUCCUUGGGCCCCCCUCCUUGGCUUUUGCAUGAGAAAUAGCCUUUUACCCUCCAGGGAUGAUCUCUGUUGAUGGCGACCCCCACUGCUGGAGCGGUGGGGGUGGUCUGACUACUUUCCAGAGCUGGCACCUCCCCUAAAGUCCUGUGCAGCGGAAGUUGAUGCAGCUAUUUUGGGGCCCCAGGACUUUCCUGAAGUUUCCCUUCAGCCUUCUUUUUCCAAAGCCAGCUUCUUUGCUCUCCUGGUCCUUAUGCCAAGAAGCUGGAAACUCCAGCUUAUGGGUCUGGCCCUUGGCAUGCUUUGGGGGCUGGCUGGGUUUCCUGAUCUUUAUUACGGCGACUGAAAUGGAACAACUGUUUCCAGCUUGAGUGUUGGGCCACAUUUCACCACCGUGGAUCUCCCUACAGGGCUGGUUCCUGCUUCCCUCCCGGAUGGAUACUGAGGGAAAUUGCCUCUAUUGUCUUUGUUUACCUCAGCAUGUCUGAGGAAGGAAGGAGGAAUGACAGUUUUCAAGCCAUUUGAUUACCUCACUGUGUGCCGGGUGUUUACAUUCCUGCUGUGGCUUUAGGGGCAAAGAGCGAUCGUUAUUCACUGUUCACUCUUCCAUGUCACUCAGGUUUCUGCUCAGAGGUCAACUCCACAGGGCAGCCCUCCCCGAUCGCCUCCUUGGUCACUUGCUGCUUCUCAUUCUGUUAAUUUCCUUCAUUACCACCCCACCAUCUGACUUGGUCUUGUUUCCCAUCGGCUUCUCCCAUCAGACAUGAGCACCACCAUCCAGAGACCUUAUCUGUUUUGUUCAUCCUGGGUUUUGGGUUGAAGCACCAUGUCUGGCAUAGAGUCUCUGGUACAGUUUUUUUGUUGUUGUUGUUGCUGUUGUUGUUGUUGAAGAACAAACUACCUGGGAGGUGUAAGUCCCCCUUUCCAUCUUCCUGAGGAGGGCAUGAAGCGCGGAGAGGACAAGUGACUUGUCCAAGGUCACACAGCCAGCGAGGAGCAGGGCUGGGAUCCGAACUCUGUUGGGCUGAAUCCGGAGCCUGUUCCUUCCCAAAGGCCGAGGAAAGGAAAAGAGAGACUCCAGCCACCAGGCAGCCUCCCUGCUUGGUGUAGAGGGACCCCAGGCUGACUCCUGGGAGAGGUGUCUUCAUGGUGUCACAAAAGAAAAACUGCUCACCUGUUCUGUGCACCAACCAUGGUCCCCUUCCCCCACUGUGACAAUCCUUGUUUCCUCUGAAAUUUGUGUUUUCGUGAUAAAAAUUAUAGCAGCACAGUGUGGGAGAGAGAAAGCGUGAGACAAGUAGCAUGUGAGAAGGAUCAAGACUCCACUUGUACUCUCUCCACUUCCACUGUGAUGUGUGGAUUCUUCUGGAAUUUUCUCAGCGCAUAUGCAAACAUGCACACACACAGAUCCACACACAUAUUCAGAAGCUUUAGCUGUAGACGAGCUCAUUACUCAUAUGCCAAUUUUUUCAUUGAGGUAUGAUCGGCAUAUAACAUUAUAUUAGUUUCAGGUGCACAGCAUGACUGCACAUAUGCAUAUAUUGCAAAACGAUCACCGCGAAAAGUCUAGUGAACACCCAUCUCCACACGUAGCUAUAGACUGUUCUUUGUCUCGUGAUGAGAGAUUUUAAGACCUACUCUCUUUGCAACUUUCAAAUAUACAAUACAGUGUUAUUAACUAUGGUCACCAAGCUUUGCAUUGCAUCCCUAGGACUGAUUUAUUUUAUAACUAGAAAUAUGUACCUUUUGACCUCCUUCACCCAUUUCACCCAUUGCCUACACUCUUCUGGCCACCAGCAGUGUGUUCUCCAUUUCUAUGAGUUCAUUUUUUUAAAGAAUACAUUUAAGUGAGAUCAUAUGGUA